GAAAACAAUUGUCUUCGAAAGGAACUUUGUGUCAUGGGACGUUACAGGUCAGCGGCAUUCACCAGAACAAGUCUUACUUCUUACCUGCUGAAACAUAUUUUGCAGCGCUGUUGCACAUACGUAUCCGCUAAAAGUUUCAAAUUG